rnacentral:tRNA from 1 species
CGCCCUGGUACGCCGGAGGCCGGGCCGGAGCGCCCUGGUACGCCGCUGGGACGCCCGCCGCCCGCAGGCGGCCGUCCGGGGCGGCCCUGCGCGG